AACGAACGCUGGCGGCAGGCUUAACACAUGCAAGUCGAGCGCCCCGCAAGGGGAGCAGCAGACGGGUGAGUAACGCGUGGGAAUCUACCCAGCUCUACGGAAUAACUCAGGGAAACUUGUGCUAAUACCGUAUACGUCCGAUAGGAGAAAGAUUUAUCGGAGUUGGAUGAGCCCGCGUUGGAUUAGCUAGUUGGUGGGGUAAUGGCCUACCAAGGCGACGAUCCAUAGCUGGUCUGAGAGGAUGAUCAGCCACACUGGGACUGAGACACGGCCCAGACUCCUACGGGAGGCAGCAGUGGGGAAUAUUGGACAAUGGGCGCAAGCCUGAUCCAGCCAUGCCGCGUGAGUGAUGAAGGCCCUAGGGUUGUAAAGCUCUUUCACCGGUGAAGAUAAUGACGGUAACCGGAGAAGAAGCCCCGGCUAACUUCGUGCCAGCAGCCGCGGUAA
rnacentral:rRNA from 1 species